rnacentral:rRNA from 1 species
UAUUGCGCAAUGGAGGAAACUCUGACGCAGUGACGCCGCGUAUAGGAAGAAGGUUUUCGGAUUGUAAACUAUUGUCGUGAGGGAAGAAAUUGACAGUACCUCAGGAGGAAGCUCCGGCUAACUAUGUGCCAGCAGCCGCGGUAAUACAUAGGGAGCAAGCGUUAUCCGGAUUUAUUGGGUGUAAAGGGUGCGUAGACGGGAAAUUAAGUUAGUUGUGAAAUCCCUCGGCUUAACUGAGGAACUGCAACUAAAACUAUUAUUCUUGAGUGCAGGAGAGGAAAGUGGAAUUCCUAGUGUAGCGGUGAAAUGCGUAGAUAUUAGGAAGAACACCGGUGGCGAAGGCGACUUUCUGGACUGUAACUGACGUUGAGGCACGAAAGUGUGGGGAGCAACCAGG